UGGCAUUCAACGGCGUGGGCUUGCGACAACAAAGGGAAAAGGAGCGAGUUGUCUUCUUCACGGCUUCUGUGCUCGUUCCUUGCUCCACCGGGCCUUUUUUUCUUUUGCUUUGCAUCGUGCCCCUCAGCCGAGACGCACUGCAUCCACUGAGGCUGCAUGGCGCGCACACACAUAGGUGCAGGCACAGAUUGCAGUUUGCAGAGCGAGAAAAAAAUACGCACACCACCUGUCGAGAUGGACUUGGACUUUUCGAAUCGAGGGCUUUUCGCGUUUGAUGCUGCGAAGGCACGGUCAGCGCUGGUAGAGGUCUCUUUGGCGGCACCGCGGACCGCUCUCUCGACGACCUCGACGGAUGGGGGUGACGCCGCUGGCGCAGCGCCGCCGUUGUCUGCGCUCCCCGCCAUCCGUCUAUUGAACCUAUCUUACAACUCCCUCCACCUUUUCACCGGUGGCGAGACCUUGAAAGGACUCACGGUGUUGGAUCUGUCGCACAACGCACUGACGCAGCUGCACAGUCAGAGCAUGCCACCCACGCUGGUGCGGCUCAGCAUCGCGCACAAUCAACUGGCACACCUGUGCGACUUGGCCAAGUACACGCCGCGACUGCAGGUACUGGAGGCCGGGCACAACCAUCUGAGUACCUCUGCUCUGCGUGGCCUACCCGCAUCGCUAACGCAUCUCAGCGUGGAGAACAACACAAUAGAGUCGUUGGUGCCGCUCGGCUCCUUGUUGCAUCUUACACACCUGAACUUGGCACAGAAUCAGCUGGAGAGCCGAGACACUCUCUGCGCCUUGCGGCCGCUUGUGUCGCUGCGCCACCUCGACGUCCGCGGCAACCCCAUGUACGAGACAGGUAGGCGUAGCAGCGAGGGCGAGGAUGAGGGUGUCACCCAGCUGCUACACGACGUAUUGCCGCGUCUGUCGCGCUUCAAUGGAACUUCUCUCUCACAGGCUCCAGAGAACCGCAUGUGGAAGAAGGCGCACCGGCAGCAGCAGCAGCAACAACAAAGUACAAAAUUCAGCGCAGUGAAGUCUCGCAGCAUGUCGCACGAUGCGCGCGGUGGCAGUGGAGCGCGGCAGCGAGGUGCGCGCGAGGACGGAAGCGGCAGUGGCAGCAGCAGCUCCAUCUUAUCGUCCUCUCAAAGACAACAACAGAGGUUGCAUGAGCCGGCUUUGGAAGUCCGGCUCAUGCAGGCGAAAGUGAAUGAACUACGACGCCUGCUCCUAGCCUCUCAGGAUGCAGAGGGGAAGGCCCGUCAGAAGCGCGCACUGCUCAUAGAGAACGUGAAGAGUACAGCCAAGGUGAUUGGCCAGCAGGAGACAGAGCUGGAGAGGCUUCAAAGUGAGGUGGAUAGCUUGCGGAGCGUGAAUCAGAAGCUGCAGUCAUCGGUGGCGGCUGCGGAGCAGUCGUUCGAGCAUGUGCACGCGUCUCUUCUCGUGAGCAAGGCAAAGCUUUCUGCCGCUGAAGUGAAGUAGAGGCGCAUCACCGAGAUGCGGUGCUGGUGAGGCGUAAUGGGCCUGUCUUCUCACUUGCGCACUGCACUUGGAACAAGAGCGGUGGGCACAGGUGCGGCCGGCCGUGCUCACAUGUAUAAAUGUGUAUUGAUAGCCUUUGAAACGCAUAGAGGCUGCGCUGGCGCAGCUCGGACGAAGAAGAACGUGGAGGGCCGCGUCGAGCUGAUUCAGUGAAGACCUCGCCCGUUAUGUGGUGUGAAGGAGCAGCGGGGGGGCCUCUGUUGCACUUUGUAUGUGGUGCUUCCACUUCACUCCCUAUCUCCUGUGCGUCCAGCUUUACUCUC
rnacentral:misc_RNA from 1 species